rnacentral:lncRNA from 1 species
UUCGAAGAGGACGAUUAGAAGGUGUAGAAGAGUAAACCGGUUUCACAGCCUCCCUAUUUUCCUCUUUUGUCAUUUCAACAGAUGAAUCAGCUCCUGCGACUGCUUUCAGUACACAUGCAUGUCUUGAUUUUUGACACUGCAGCUUCAAGGUAGACGAAAAAGUGCAAUUCACUACACAUGCAUGUCUUGAUUUUUGACACUGCAGCUUCAAGGUAGACGAAAAAGUGCACAAAUUCUUGAACUUUGUCAAAGAGAGAAUUUUCCCAUUUGUUACUGAAGUUGCAGAAUUAGUCACAGUCCAAGAAAAUCCAAGAUUUUUCUUAGGCUGAGAAAUUGAAGAGAUGGUGGAAAAAUCGUAUAUGCUCUCCAUUGUAGUACACGAUUUGAAAGGUUUAGUCAAACUGGGUUUGGAGCAUUGCUAAUAAGAGGGGUAGUGAGAGUUGCAACUAAGAGUAUUAUGUUUUCUGGUAUUUUAUAAGGUGACUUGUCGAAUUUUAAUCUCACAAAAACAAGUGUGCAGUUUGCAACCAGCCACGCGAAUAAUGUGAAAUAUGUUCUUUCCAAAUGAAGGCGAAGUGUAUCAUUAACCACUAAUAAUAUAUAUAUAUAUAUAUAUUAUUAGUGGUUAAUGAUACACUUCGCCUUCAUUUGGAAAGAACAUAUUUCACAUUAUUCGCGUGGCUGGUUGCAAACUGCACACUUGUUUUUGUGAGAUUAAAAUUCGACAAGUCACCUUAUAAAAUACCAGAAAACAUAAUACUCUUAGUUGCAACUCUCACUACCCCUCUUAUUAGCAAUGCUCCAAACCCAGUUU